CAGUCGCCACGGGAAUACAGAGGGUGCGAGCGUUAAUCGGAUUUACUGGGCGUAAAGCGUGCGUAGGCGGCUUUUUAAGUCGGAUGUGAAAUCCCUGAGCUUAACUUAGGAAUUGCAUUCGAUACUGGGAAGCUAGAGUAUGGGAGAGGAUGGUAGAAUUCCAGGUGUAGCGGUGAAAUGCGUAGAGAUCUGGAGGAAUACCGAUGGCGAAGGCAGCCAUCUGGCCUAACACUGACGCUGAGGUACGAAAGCAUGGGGAGCAAACAGGAUUAGAUACCCCAGUAGUCCCUGUCUCUUAUAC
rnacentral:rRNA from 1 species